rnacentral:rRNA from 1 species
UACAGAGGUCUCAAGCGUUGUUCGGAUUCAUUGGGCGUAAAGGGUGCGCAGGCGGCGUCGUAAGUCGGGUGUGAAAUCUCGGGGCUCAACUCCGAAAUUGCAUUCGAUACUGCGGUGCUUGAGGACUGGAGAGGAGACUGGAAUUCCCAGUGUAGCGGUGAAAUGCGUAGAUAUCAGGAGGAACACCGGUGGCGAAGGCGGGUCUCUGGGCCGAAACUGACGCUGAGGAGCGAAAGCGUGGGGAGCGAACAGG